rnacentral:rRNA from 1 species
UAGGGAACCUUCGGCAAUGGGGGCAACCCUGACCGAGCAACGCCGCGUGAGUGAAGAAGGUUUUCGGAUCGUAAAGCUCUGUUGUAAGUCAAGAACGGGUGUGAGAGUGGAAAGUUCACACUGUGACGGUAGCUUACCAGAAAGGGACGGCUAACUACGUGCCAGCAGCCGCGGUAAUACGUAGGUCCCGAGCGUUGUCCGGAUUUAUUGGGCGUAAAGCGAGCGCAGGCGGUUUGAUAAGUCUGAAGUUAAAGGCUGUGGCUCAACCAUAGUUCGCUUUGGAAACUGUCAAACUUGAGUGCAGAAGGGGAGAGUGGAAUUCCAUGUGUAGCGGUGAAAUGCGUAGAUAUAUGGAGGAACACCGGUGGCGAAAGCGGCUCUCUGGUCUGUAACUGACGCUGAGGCUCGAAAGCGUGGGGAGCGAACAGGAUUAGAUACCCUGGUAGUCCACGCCGUAAACGAUGAGUGCUAGGUGUUGGAUCCUUUCCGGGAUUCAGUGCCGCAGCUAACGCAUUAAGCACUCCGCCUGGGGAGUACGACCGCAAGGUUGAAA